rnacentral:rRNA from 1 species
UGGGGAAUAUUGGACAAUGGGCGCAAGCCUGAUCCAGCCAUGCCGCGUGAGUGAUGAAGCCCUUCGGGGUGUAAAGCUCUUUCGACGGGAACGAUAAUGACGGUACCCGGAGAAGAAGCUGCGGCUAACUACGUGCCAGCAGCCGCGGUAAUACGUAGGCAGCAAACGUUGUUCGGAAUUACUGGGCGUAAAGAGUGUGUAGGCGGUUGGGUAAGUUUGGUGUGAAAUCUCCCGGCUUAACUGGGAGGGUGCGCCGAAAACUGCCUGGCUUGAGUACUGGAGAGGAUAGCGGAAUUCCUGGUGUAGCGGUGAAAUGCGUAGAUAUCAGGAGGAACACCUGCGGUGUAGACGGCUAUCUGGACAGUAACUGACGCUGAGACACGAAAGCGUGGGGAGCAAA